rnacentral:tRNA from 1 species
AGGGGAAUCGCCAAGAUGGUUAAGGCACUGGAUUUUGAUUCCAGCAUGCGAAGGUUCGAAUCCUUCUUCCCCUGCCA